UACGGGGGGAGCAAGCGUUGGUUCGGAUUUACUGGGCGUAAAGGGCGCGGUAGGCGGUCGUGACAAGUCACUUGUGAAAUCUCCGGGCUUAACUCGGAACGGUCAAGUGAUACUGUCGGACUAGAGUACAGAAGGGGCAACUGGAAUUCCCGGUGUAGCGGUGGAAUGCGUAGAGAUCGGGAAGAACAUCAGUGGCGAAGGCGGCCUGCUGGGCUGUUGCUGACGCUGAGGCGCGACAGCGGUGGGGAGCAAACAGG
rnacentral:rRNA from 1 species